GCUGACGAGUGGCGGACGGGUGAGUAAUGUCUGGGAAACUGCCUGAUGGAGGGGGAUAACUACUGGAAACGGUGGCUAAUACCGCAUAACGUCGCAAGACCAAAGAGGGGGACCUUCGGGCCUCUUGCCAUCAGAUGUGCCCAGAUGGGAUUAGCUUGUUGGUGAGGUAACGGCUCACCAAGGCGACGAUCCCUAGCUGGUCUGAGAGGAUGACCAGCCACACUGGAACUGAGACACGGUCCAGACUCCUACGGGAGGCAGCAGUGGGGAAUAUUGCACAAUGGGCGCAAGCCUGAUGCAGCCAUGCCGCGUGUAUGAAGAAGGCCUUCGGGUUGUAAAGUACUUUCAGCGGGGAGGAAGG
rnacentral:rRNA from 2 species